CCAAUCGAACUCGGAGAUAGCUGGUUCUCCCCGAAAUAGCUUUAGGGCUAGCCUCGAUUUAGAUUACCGGGGGUAGAGCACUGAAUGGGCUAGGGGGCCACAAAGCUUACCGAACCCUAUCAAACUUCGAAUACCGGAUAAUUGAUGAUCGGGAGUCAGACAGUGUGAGAUAAGUUUCAUUGUCGAAAGGGAAACAGCCCAGAUCUACGACUAAGGUCCCAAAGUUCAAGUUAAGUGGAAAAGGAUGUGCAAUUGCGUAGACAACCAGGAUGUUGGCUUAGUAGCAGCCAUUCAUUCAAAGAGUGCGUAAUAGCUCACUGGUCGAGUGAUUGUGCGCCGAAAAUGUAACGGGGCUAAACUUGACACCGAAGUCUAGGCAGAAGGAAACUUCUGGGUAGGGGAGCAACGUGUACGGGCAGAAGCAGAAGCGGAAGCGACUGUGGACUGUACAGGAGAGAGAAUGCCGGCAUGAGUAGCGAGAGCAAAGUGAGAAUCUUUGCCGUCGAAAGCCUAAGGUUUCCUGAGGAAGGCUCGUCCUCUCAGGGUAAGUCGGGACCUAAGCCGAGGACAAUAGUCGUAGGCGAUGGACAAUCGGUUAAUAUUCCGAUACCGCCGAGCAACCGGAUGCAGUGACACAGAAGGAUAGGCAGAGCGUGGCGAUGGUAGACCACGUCCAAGCAGUGAGGCUGUUGUGUAGUGAAGUACGCACAACGGAAGGCUGGGCUGUGAUGGGGAACGAUUACGAUCGGUAAGCUGCUGAAUUCACGCUGGCGAGAAAAGCUGCUACGAAGCGAAGGCGCCCGUACCGCAAACCGACACAGGUAGGCGAGGAGAGAAUCCUAAGACGAGCGGGAGAACCCUUGUUAAGGAACUCGGCAAAAUGACUCCGUAACUUAGGGAGAAGGAGUGCCCAGGAAUGGGCCGCAGAGAAUAGACCCAAGCGACUGUUUACCAAAAACACAGGUCUGUGCGAAGUAGAGAUACGACGUAUACGGGCUGACACCUGCCCAGUGCCGGAAGGUUAAGGGGAAAUGUUAGGGCAACCGAAGCAUGGAACUUAAGCCCCGGUGAACGGCGGCCGUAACUAUAACGGUCCUAAGGUAGCGAAAUUCCUUGUCGGGUAAGUUCCGACCCGCACGAAUGGUGUAACGAUUUGGGUACUGUCUCAACAAGGGACCCGGCGAAAUUGUAGUAUGUGUGAAGAUGCACAUUACCCGCGAUAGGACGGAAAGACCCCGUAGAGCUUUACUGUAGUUUAACAUUGGAUUCCGGUAACAUAUGCACAGGAUAGGUGGGAGGCGGAGAAGCAGUGAUUUCGGUUGCUGCAGAGCCGACGUUGGGAUACCACUCUUGUGUUACUGGGGUUCUAACCUGUGGCCGUGAUCCGGCACAGGAACAGUGUUAGAUGGGCAGUUUGACUGGGGCGGUCGCCUCCAAAAGAGUAACGGAGGCGUCCAAAGGUUCCCUCAGAAUGGUUGGAAACCAUUCGAAGAGUACAAAGGCAGAAGGGAGCCUGACUGCGAGACCGACAGGUCGAGCAGGGACGAAAGUCGGGCUUAGUGAUCCGGCGGUAUAGAGUGGAAUUGCCGUCGCUCAACGGAUAAAAGCUACCUCGGGGAUAACAGGCUUAUCUCCCCCAAGAGUCCACAUCGACGGGGAGGUUUGGCACCUCGAUGUCGGCUCG
rnacentral:rRNA from 1 species